AGCCUAUCAGAAGCGAGUUCUGGAAGGCGGGGCGGAAGACUGGAAGAAUGGAACGGAUUGACGAGACGAGUAGCCAAUGAGAGGUUUGAUUCUGAUAGUACCGGGCCACCAGAGGACCUGUCCGGGAAGGGAAAUGGGGCUACGUCCAGAAGGACCAAAUGAGGGUUUUGCCUUGUACCUCUGCAAAUGAACAUGAGAUGUCCAUCAUGAAACCAUAAGUGAAGGAAGUUGAAAGCAGAUGUUGGAGAUGGUGGGGUAACUAGCAUUGUCCUCAAGAGCCCUAGAGUGUUCACCCUCCACCCUGCGAGCCUGUUUAUGUGGGCUCUGAAAACUGUCCACUUUGACAAACAAACCAAAGGACAUAAAAGAAAAAAA